UUCCGGUUGAUCCCGCCGGACCUGACUGCUAUCGGAUUGAUACUAAGCCAUGCGAGUCAUUGUAGUAAUACAAGGCAGACGGCUCAGUAACGCGUAGUCAACCUAACCUAUGGACGGGAAUAACCUCGGGAAACUGAGUAUAAUGCCCGAUAGAACAUUAUGCCUGGAAUGGUUUAUGUUCCAAAUGAUUUAUCGCCGUAGGAUGGGACUGCGGCCUAUCAGUUUGUUGGUGAGGUAAUGGCCCACCAAGACUAUUACAGGUACGGGCUCUGAGAGGAGUAGCCCGGAGAUGGGUACUGAGACACGGACCCAGGCCCUAUGGGGCGCAGCAGGCGAGAAAACUUUGCAAUGUGCGAAAGCACGACAAGGUUAAUCCGAGUGGUUUGUGCUAAACGAACCUUUUGUUAGUCCUAGAAACACUAACGAAUAAGGGGUGGGCAAGUUCUGGUGUCAGCCGCCGCGGUAAAACCAGCACCUCAAGUGGUCAGGAUGAUUAUUGGGCCUAAAGCAUCCGUAGCCGGCUCUGUAAGUUUUCGGUUAAAUCUGUACGCUCAACGUACAGGCUGCCGGGAAUACUGCAGAGCUAGGGAGUGGGAGAGGUAGACGGUACUCGGGAGGAAGGGGUAAAAUCCUUUGAUCUUUCGAUGACCACCUGUGGC
rnacentral:rRNA from 1 species